GAUGAACGCUGGCGGCGUGCCUAAUACAUGCAAGUCGAGCGAACGGACGAGAAGCUUGCUUCUCUGAUGUUAGCGGCGGACGGGUGAGUAACACGUGGAUAACCUACCUAUAAGACUGGGAUAACUUCGGGAAACCGGCGCUAAUACCGGAUAAUAUUUUGAACCGCAUGGUUCAAAAGUGAAAGACGGUCUUGCUGUCACUUAUAGAUGGAUCCGCGCUGCAUUAGCUAGUUGGUAAGGUAACGGCUUACCAAGGCAACGAUGCAUAGCCGACCUGAGAGGGUGAGCGGCCACACUGGAACUGAGACACGGUCCAGACUCCUACGGGAGGCAGCAGUAGGGAAUCUUCCGCAAUGGGCGAAAGCCUGACGGAGCAACGCCGCGUGAGUGAUGAAGGUCUUCGGAUCGUAAAACUCUGUUAUUAGGGAAGAACAUAUGUGUAAGUAACUGUGCACAUCUUGACGGUACCUAAUCAGAAAGCCACGGCUAACUACGUG
rnacentral:rRNA from 1 species